rnacentral:sRNA from 13 species
GCCUGCAUCCACAAUAAAAGCAGAACAUUCAACCGGAAGAGAAAUCGUGCAGAGAUUAGUUGCCAGGAUAUGGCAGUAAAGCCUCUCGUGUUGGACAUCUUGAGCUGCAAGAGGAGGCUGUUACCGCUGUUAAUUGGCUUUGUUUAUGAACUAACCCGGAGUACCCUUGGAAUUCACAAUCCCCUUGCAAAAACGGCUUACGAGUACUAGCCACAUCCAACAGCCAUUCCAGUUACACCUGGCGUAUGCUUGUUAUUUUCCCAUAAUCAUGGUCGGGCAUUGGUCAAGUGAGCUUGGACUUACAACCGAAUAAGGACAGAGACUAACAUUUGAAUAAGAUAAGUUCCAUUCAAGAUACAGGUAUCCUUGUGAUUGAUUCCGGAUGAAGUGCGUUCGACACAAGUAUUAAUUGCCAAGUGCAAGGAAACUAAUAGCUGGCAAAAUCAAGUUAAGGAGUAAUAAGGAUAACAGAAACGAAUUUAAUUAUAGAAUCUGAUGGUAAUGUUUCUUGCUGAUGCUCUGGUUGCUGUAAUUUCUUGUUCUCAUUUCAAUUUUUUUCUUAUUUAGUCAAUGGUAUUUACAAAUAUCUAUUCGUAAUUAGUAAUGAUCUGGUUUUUAUAAAAAAAAAUAAAGUUAACAACAGAUUGGCCAAUGAUGUCAAAUUUCGGCCUUGGCCACUUUUUUAUAUGUAAUAUGAGUGAUAUGAAUAAAUUCUUGCUCUGGAUCAUAACAGACAAAUUAGUUGAAUCAUCUCGAAUCCGGCACAUCAGCCAUGGAUUCUUGACCUUUUCAAUGACACAGCAAGAAGAUGUGCCAUACCUCAAUUUACUGCGGCUCCUUCCUUCAGUAGCCCAACUGGCGCCCCUUGAAAGUCAAUUUCAAUCAGCAAACAAAGGAAAUUUCUAGGCCAGAACAUAAACACAAACAGAAUAGUGGUCAAUGAGCCCAAAACAGGAAGAGCUCCGGAUGGAUGGCCUAGCCAAAGUGGCUGGGACUUGUGAGAUGCGGACGAGCCUGACCCAGGCGAAACUUUGCCAACGAUUUAUGCACCGGCUAAGCAUUUUAAACACAUGCAUAAAUCAGAAACGUACAGGACCAAGGGUGGUCUGAAAUAUUCGGCAAACAGUUGCUUAAAGCCAAAGUUUUUAAAUGACCCAUGGAACAGAUCAGGCGGGAGGGGGCUUCUCUCCCGAUGAUGUGUGACAGUUUGUGGCAAAUUGAAAGGACAUGUGGCGAAUAUGGAGACGCCUUCGACUUAGACACACCAUUAAGCUCAUAAUUGCCUCAUAAAGAUAGGCAAAAUCCAAGGGCGGUCUGGGUGCCCAGAAUAUGUGCCAUCUGCCACGAGAUUAUUGUGCUUUAUUCGCUUUCAUUUGCUCUCUCCGGGAUCACAUAAAAUUUAAUUAAAUUGUUUUAUUGCAUUCAGGCCAAAUGGCAUUCCUUAAACGAACUGCCAUCAACUUCAGCGUUUCGUGGGCCACGAGCCACAAGCCGUACAAAAGAAGAGAGUCGAAAAAAUCCCUGUUCGCAUAAUUAAAGGAAGCCGCAGGAGCGACUCCCAACAUUCAUGUGGCUAAUCUUUCAUGGGAUUCCGCAGCCACAAAUGCGGAAUCGUUGGGUCCACAUUCAUCAAAUAAAUCAAGAUUUGUCGGCACUGCGAUAUCUCCAUUUGAAAAGAGCAGAGUGUUUGCGAAAUUAACUAAGUAGUUGGGCUAUUUAAAUGUACAUAUGUUUUACCGAUAUCAACGGGAGUGUCAGUGCUAUAUUAUUUUACUUCGAAAGUAAUCGAAAUUUCGACCCUCAGGUUGACCGUUGGUCAUCUCUUAAUAUACAGUUGACCUUUGAACGCAAUGUUAUGAGCAAUUUCAGCAGUAAUUCCGUGAAAUUGAAGGACCCUCUGUAGACUUGACAGGUAAAUUGUUGGGUAAGGUUAGUAUAAAUCGAUAAGAGCGUGAAACUAAAUAAUUAAGUAAGGCUUAACCCACCUUAUUCUAACUCGUACUGAAAGGGGGAAGUGGUCCUACAGCCUUGGAUAGAAACUGGUAGCCCCUCGCACAAAUGGCAAAUGGCACACAAAGAGGGCCCAGAAUGAAAGGAACUCAUUGGCAUAUCUACAUAUUUCUGGUUCAAUGCAUUGCCAGAACGCACACACAGAUACAUACCAACACAUAGGCGAGCCCGAAAACAGAAUAGCAAACAAACAGGCGAACAUCUCUGGCGAUUAUGCAGUGAAAAAGAGCGGCACCGGGAAAAGUCGGAAAUGGAAAUGGACUGGCAGAAGGAAAGGAAAGGGGGAGCGUGGAAAUCCUCCGCAGGGCAGCCAAACCGAAAGUAUUCGAAAGAUGCCAAUUCAUUUGUGCCAUAAACAACUACAAACACAAUCGGAUGGCAACAACAGUUAAGCUGGGACAAGAUACUGGAUAUAUCCGCACGGGGAUAUAGAAUGCAUAUGCACACUGCAUAUUGGCCAACUAUCGAUCCGAGCCAUUGUAAUUUGCAACUUUUCAUUUUCCAUUUUUUGCGCUCGAAGAUAAAUUAUUAUUUGUUGGGGGUUGACAGUCAAAGUGAAAUGUGAAAUAAUUUGUGGAUUUUCCAUUCGGGUCAAAUUAAGGAAAUUGUUUCCGGGUUCUACGUUCUACAUAAAUUCUUCUCUGGUAACCAGUGAACUGUUAAUAUAACACUGGAUUCACUGAAAUCAGAACCACGCAGAAAUUUAGAGAAGUGAUGGACUUGAUUUUUAAAUGCUGGAUUUGAAGAUUAUAUAGAAAUUUUAGUUAGUUUUAGCCCAAAAAUAUUUAUCUGGGCAUCUAAAAGUUUCAUAGACUGCCUAAACUGCAUGCUCAAAAAGUUUUUUGUUCAUGGAUUGCAUGAAUGCUUUCACUUUCAAAAAAAUCACAAUAUAUGUGUUCUUUGCAAGAGUGUGUUUGUUGGGUUUCCCAAAGAGCGACUGCUAUUUUCAUUUUCCAUUUCGCAUUUGUUCAUUUUCCAUUUCCAUGUGGGAAGGGUAUGCAAAUUUUCCUGGCCCGUAAACACAGACUCUUGUAAGUGUGUGUUUUAAGGUGAGUCAAGGCUUUGUCUGAAAAACAGCUAGCACCAUGUGAAUCACACACUUAAAUGUGUUGGACAUGCUUUGACGGACUGUCGGUGUUUAUGAUGAAAAACGGUCCCUACCCCGCCCUGUUCAUCUGCUAAGAGCCCACUUGGCUUUAUUAUUCGGCAGGAACUCUCGCAAAGUUAGUCAUUUAUUUUUUGUCCCUUACUACGUUUAUGCCAUGAGGCUUCGCGAUAAUUGAAGGCAUCAAUUCAAAUCACAGCCCAAAUUCAAGACUUAUUUGGUUUGGACGUUUACGUAAAGGUAACAAUUUGACUUAUUACUCUGGUAGUUAACAAGUGGAAAAGUAAGAUUUAAAGGCGAAAAAGUGCAUAAAGUACAUAUAUUCAUUUGCAGUUGUUAAAAUUAAUAGGGAAGAGUAAUUUCCAACGGACUUGUCUGACUUGUUUUCCUUUAACCAGAAGUUCCGGCUCCGUUUUCACGCAUCCUACCUGAAUUCGUGAUAAACAAAAAAUGCGUGAAAAGUUAAUGGCAUAAACACCGUAGCUGUUUCCAAUGUGUGCCUGUGUGCAGGAUAAUUUGAUGCGACAUGCAACUUCUGAAACUUUAAUUGACAUCAGCAGGGAGGAGGUGCGGUCAACAUGGCUCAGCACGAGGCGACCCACAACAACUGGGACCUAGUCUAUAACCGGCUGGCCAAAGGGUUGCAGCUUUCAAAUAAUCCAGCCAGCUCAAGCUGCAAGAACAAUAACCGGAGCAGCAGGAGCUACAGAAAAUUAUUGUAUCAUUGCGAAACGGAGUGUGCGAAUAACCACAGCCCUUCUUCUCGUGCUCAUCAUCCUGCCAUGAAUCUGUGAUGCGAAUUGCCACUUCUUGCAGCUGUCUCCUUGGCACGAUUCUCCAUGUAAAUGCCAUUUUCCCAGGACACAGACCGAAAGUGCGUCAAGAAGUGAAAGUGAAGAAACGAGUUCGAAAUUCUCCGUUUGCAGCGGGAAUGCUGUCCUAUUUUGAGGCGUCAACCUAUUACUUUUUAAGACACUCGGCUUUAAUUUUAUUCAAGCAACAUUUUAGUUUUUACAAACUGUCUACAGAACUGGAUUGUCGAUGUCCGAUGAGAUUGCAAUUUUAAUAAUAAUCGAUUGAAUCGAAUUUUCUGCCCUUAUCAACAUUUUUUUCCAUAAUGAAGUUGCAGUUUUAUGAUAGCAGAGGCUAAUAUUGACAGUCCUUCUUCCCUUAAGACCAUUUGUAGGUGUUAAGUGAACAUGACUAGAUAUUAAAUAUAUAUUAUAUACAAUAAAUAUGUCAUUAGAUCACAAAAGUCAGAGGGAAAUGUAAAU